rnacentral:lncRNA from 1 species
AGGAGAAAAAAUUAGACCCUCCAUUUUACCAAACCCUAGCCGCAGCCUUCUCCCUCCUCACUCUCUCAUCUGCAUACAUGCUCACUCACUCACUUCCUUGUCCUCACAUAAUAUACACCCACACUCAUAUACUCAUUUUCUCCACCUGAAGUUCAUUGUUGAGAUUUGAAAUCUUAGGCGACGAGAAAAUACACAAGAGCGGCAGUUAAAAAUACUCCAAAUAGCCUAAAAAUGUUAGUUUAGAUCAGUAGUUUCAAGGAGCUGUUUGGUUUUAUGUUGAUUUGCUUGGUAGUUUUCUGGUUUUCUAAGAGUGAUUAAACUCUCAAAUCACUGUUGGUUGCUGCUGAUUCACUUUACUGUUGAGCUCCAGAUUUAUCUUUUAUCACUGUUUCUCUCUAUUCUGUUUCGACAUCAAGGUACUCUUCUUGAUUUUGAUCAUGUAACUUGAUUUGGAUAACUCAUAUUCUAUGAAAAUAAUUUCGUGAAACUACAUGUUCUUCUCUGUUAAGCGAGUGACUAUUAUCUUCGAUCUGUAUGCCAUGUUUAUGACUAAUUUCAUAGAUACAUCAUGAGAUUUGCCUAUAUCCUCUCCUAUGCUAGUUUUGUGUUAGUUGUUUGUUGAACUAAGUGUUUAAAUUCAAAUCAUUCUCUGAAUCAGUUUGUUAAUCGCUCAAUGCCUUAUGACUAAUACUAUGGUUUCGAAUAUUGCUUAUAAUUGCCUUUGUGUUAGCUUGAAGUUCUGAUUUUCACUUAGGGUUGAAAGUUGAAGUUACAAACUGCACAUUAAUUAGCUUAGCUGCUACUGACAGUAGAACUAUCCUAAUGAAGCAUUUAAUAAUUUAAAAUGUCAUUAUAUCAGUGUUGGCUGUGCGUUUAGUGAGUUCAUAAGGAUUUGAACUGAAUUUGGUUACUGUUGACGCUCUUCACAUAAGAGAAUGGGAGUUUGAAUGCUUGGGUUCAAGUUGAAGUCGUAGUACGAAGAGUUACGAAUCUCUAUUUGGAUUUUUGUGUUGUAACAACAAAUGAUUUUCGUACUGUGAUGUUAGUUUGAGUAAUCAGGAAUUAAUGUUUUGGAAACAGUCUUGUAGUUGCUUUUAAAUUUGAACAGUCAUGUAUUAAUAUUUGGGGAAGUUGCAUUUGAUAAUGUUGACAAGCAAUCAAUGUAUCACUGGGCCAAUAUAGCUGAAAUGUUAAUUGAGCCUCUAGAAUACAAUCACCACUAUCUUAAGUAACGAAAUGUGUGGCUAUCCCAACAAAUGAAUUCCAUAAUAAUCUAUGGCCUUUCACAUUCAAUCAUAACUCUUAGGAAAUGAACAACCAUGAAUGCGCUAGCAUGCUUUAGGCACGUUCUUAAUUCAAUCAAUUAUCGUGAUUGUGUACACGUUCGCGCGACAUACAUGAAUCCAAAAAUAAAUCAAAGUAUGCGUUCGCGCAACUUUGGCCAAAAAAUAAUCUUCAUAAUUAGUAAAGUGUGAUUAAUUGUGUACACGUACGCGUGACAUAAUUUUAGAGCGAUAAAUAAAAUAGAUUUACACACAUGUAAUACGUUUCAAAGAUAAUUCCAUAACGCCAUAAUUAAAAGCGGUAAAAACAUAAAUGUACAUAGGUUCUAAAAGUAAGUAAUUAAAUAAUUUAAUUAAGCCAUGUAUGAUUAAAGCGACCGUGCUAAAACCACGGAACUCGGAAAUGCCCAACACCUUCUUCCGGAUUAACAGAAUUCCUUACCCGGUCUUCUGUGUUCGCAGACCAAAAAUAGAGUCAUUUUCCUCGAUUUGGGAUUCUAAAAUAAACCGGUGACUUGGGACACCAUAAUCAUUCCAAGUGGCGACUCUGAAUUAAAAUAAAUAAUCCUAUUUCGAUUAAUGUCAUUUUAAUUGAAAAAACUCCCCUAUCCCCUCGGGAAAAAGGAGGUGUCACACUUGAUAUUUGUUAUUAUUACUAAUAAUAUUGCACGAGGGGUGUUUCCGUGCUUGGUGAGAAAGAGUGAUACAUAUAUUUAUAUAUGCACAAAGGGUGUUCCCAUGCUAGUGAGGAUGAAAGGUGAAUGCACGAAAGGUGUUGUCGUGCUAUUGAUAUGAUAUCUUUUACUUAUUUCUCUAUUUAUGCGGAUUUGUCAAUUGACCUUGUUGUUUUCGUUAUUGUUGUUUCAUCUUCUUGGAUUUGAGGUGUUAAGAGAGGCUCGGUUGUGAUAUUUGAGAACUUUGAUCGUUAUUUGUUUUAGUUAAUUAUUUUACUAUUUCUCGUAUCUAUCCUUGUUAUAUAUCUUAUUAUUUCUCUUGCUAUUUCUCUUUUUUUUUAUUGGUUAUUAACUGCAAAGAUUUAUAAGUAGGUGUCUUAUCUUAGCCUCGUUACUACUUUAUCGGAGUUAGGCUCAAUACUUACUGAGUACAUGGGAUCGGUUGUACUCAUACUACACUUUCGCACUUCUUGUGCGGAUCCCAGUAUUGGUCUUAGUGGAAUCCCGAGGGGUGCUUAGAUUGGACAUUUGGGUGAUUUGAGGCAGUGUUGUAUCUCUGUCCAUAGACUCGGGAGUCGCCUUUGUUAUCCCUAUUACUGUUAUUUGUAUCAUACAGUAUUGUAUUCCUUCCAGACUAUGUAUUUAGUAUUCCUAAGAGCUCAUACACUCAGUGACACUAGUCUUAGAGAGUUAUUUAGACAUUUGUAUUGGUUUUAAAUUUAUUAUAUAAUUUCGGAGUUUUUACUCUUUAUUUAUGGU